UGGUGGAGUGAUUUGUCUGGUUAAUUCCGAUAACGAACGAGACCUUAACCUGCUAAAUAGUUACUCAAACCUUGUGUUUGUGGUUAGCUUCUUAGAGGGACUAUCUGGGUUUACCAGGUGGAAGUUUGAGGCAAUAACA
rnacentral:rRNA from 1 species